GGAGAGCGGCGGCGGGAGGCAGGCUCGCGCGGAGAGGAGGUGCAGCGCCGGAGACCGCCCCGCGCCGCGAAUUCGGUCCUGGGUCUCUGCAAUGAUUAAUCCGGUGAGUGUAUGAACUCACUCUGUCACAGCUGCGUGCUGAUCGUGGCCUGGCCCUGCUGAAAGCUGCUCUGCGCUCCAGGAAUGGCGGCACAAAACCAGGAUCCACAACCGAACCUUGCAAUGGUAUCCCCUGAGAAUGAUGGAGAAAAGGAACCAAGUGUCUGGAAAGAUCCGCUGCUGCCCCAAAAACAAGCAGACACCUGCCAAGUGCUGCAUAUUCCUAUGCCUUUGCUCCUCCAGCAGCCAAUAGCUGAAAAGCUCCAAAGCAAAAUAGAGCGGGUGUUCCCAUGUGCGACGCCGACAAGCCGUGCAAGAACUGUGCUGGACACCACUGCGGCCACCAGGAAUGUGACGUCCUCAGCCUGCAUGCACGGAGAACACUGGGAACCAUGGGGACCUGGGAGAAGUGAGACGUCUUUUGUUGAAAUAAUCCAUUCAGUUUGGGACUGGAUAUACCUGUGCCUUUGCAUGCGUGUUCCUGGCUCUCAGCUCUGCAGCUGCUGUUGUCCUGCUGCCCCUGGUGCUCUCGGGGCAGCUCGUCCCUUUGCAGUGUCUGUGGUUUUCCAUGGAACCGCUCUCUGCGGUGCAGCCGUCGUCGCCGUAUCUGUUUCCAUCCCCCCCCUCCGGGCGCUGUACUUCAACCAAGUGAAACAGAUGUGGUUUGCAGAGCAAAAUCUCUGCAGCGGAUCAUUUCUCUGUAGGCUCCGUGGUUCCAGUUGGAUGAACGAACCCUGUGCGAGGCCAGGCCGAGCUGCAGGCCCUCCUCCUUCCUGAUCUUCCUGCCUAACUCGCGACGGUUUGGGUGGAAAUGAGCAGAGAGCGAACGUACUUUUUUCACCAAACAGUUUCAUUCCAGCAGAGGGAUCUGUGUUGUGUAGUAUAAAACCACUUAAAACCUCGGGCACGAUGUGCAGCAG
rnacentral:lncRNA from 1 species